rnacentral:rRNA from 1 species
UACGUAGGGUGCAAGCGUUAAUCGGAAUUACUGGGCGUAAAGCGUGCGUAGGCGGUUAUGCAAGACCGGUGUGAAAUCCCCGGGCUCAACCUGGGAACUGCAUUUGUGACUGCAUAGCUAGAGUACGGUAGAGGGGGAUGGAAUUCCGCGUGUAGCAGUGAAAUGCGUAGAUAUGCGGAGGAACACCGAUGGCGAAGGCAAUCCCCUGGACCUGUACUGACGCUCAUGCACGAAAGCGUGGGGAGCAAACAGG